AUUACAAACCAAUUAAAACCAAAACUCAAUUCAAUUCAACUCUCAAUCCAAACGCACUCUAAGUAGGCUCCGUAGACUGUUUCUCUAGCUUUCGCAUAAGUGAUUGAUGACUUGUCAAAUUGCAUCGGACGCGAUACUGAAUUUAAAAUAAAAAAAUUCGUUUUUAAUUUUAAUUAAAAUUAAAUAAUAAAAAGAAAUAAAAGAAAAAAUAAAAUAAAAUAGUUCUGUUUGCGUCUCCCCUCUCUCAGCCUCUCUCUCGCUUCUCUCUCGUCUCUCUCUCUUCUCUCUCUCUCUCCAUCUCUGUCUCCCCUAAAAACCACCACCACCGGCAGGACCUACCCCUUCGACUUCCUUUGCUCCAGCACCACUAAGCCCACUGAAACCUCGUUUAGAAUCCUCUGCCCGGCAUCUAAGACCGCCAAGGUCCCCGCGCAACAUCCCCGGUGCCAAAAUCCGUGUCCUCGACGACCCUGCCUCUGGUUCCUCCUGCGAGGAGCGUGUAAUCCUCGUGUGCUCGCACUCAGCACCCAUUGAAGCCAAGGAAGAGACCAACGUCGACUUGAAUUGACGUUCGAUUCCGAGCUCGAGUGCGAGCGGUGGAGCCCAAUGGGGGUUGUCCUCCGCUCAGCAGGCUCUGGUGCGGGGUGUUCGAGAGCGUCGUAGCAGUGGCUGAGGAUACGGAUAAGAAAGGAAAUUGUUUGGGCGGUGAUGAACAUGGAAAUGCCGACUGGACAGUGGUCUGUUGGAUGCUGGCCGGGAGUAAUCAGGUGGGUUCUGCCGCUGGUAGGGAAGGAAGGUUAUUGGAGAAGAUUAGGCAGGGCAGGAGAACCCGGUCUUCAUUAGAUUGGUCCCCAGGGACCAGCUCCCGCCCUGUGCUUCUCCUGCUGACGAGUUGACUGAGAUGAAGGUUCCCCGUCGUCAGUGCUGUGAUAUUUUGCCGAUCAUCAAUGGAUCGAUGGUUAUUCGCAUCAGACAAUGUGGACCCACUGAAUUGAUUGCAAUGCGUCCCUAAUAGUUAUUCGGCAUUGUGGAAAGCUGGCGAUUAGAAGUUGAAGCGGCUUUCCUCACUCACUUUAAGCUCUGAAACUGAAAUCUAACCAGUCAAUGAAGAAGUUAAUUGCUGUAAUAUAUAGUCACACGAAGGUUAUCGAAGAUUCAUAAUUAAGGGAGAGCUCUCUCGCUCUAUGUCAUUCCUCCCCGAGCCUGUGAGUUCGGUAUGAGAGGUAAUGCUAGUUUUGAUGUAUCUGUGUACCGAGCCGGGAAAUUUCCCGCACUGUAAAUUUAUUCCAUCAUUCAAAGGCUCGUGAAUAGGGCGAGAGUUUAAGAGUGCAAGUUCGCAAGUAUUUAUAUAAUUUUUUCUUAGGCAGUGAUUUGCACAAGCACUCAGAUGAGUAGCUCUGUGUAUCUUCAGCUGACAACUGCAUUUUGUUAAAUAAUCCAAUAAAAUUUACGGGGAUUUUACGCCC